CAGAGAGUGUGUGCCAGCAGCCGCGGUAAUACGUAUGGUGCAAGCGUUAUCCGGCUUUACUGGGUGUAAAGGGAGCGCAGGCGGUGCGGCAAGUCUGAUGUGAAAGCCCGGGGCUCAACCCCGGUACUGCAUUGGAAACUGUCGUACUAGAGUGUCGGAGGGGUAAGCGGAAUUCCUAGUGUAGCGGUGAAAUGCGUAGAUAUUAGGAGGAACACCAGUGGCGAAGGCGGCUUACUGGACGAUAACUGACGCUGAGGCUCGAAAGCGUGGGGAGCAAACAGG
rnacentral:rRNA from 1 species